UCUAAAAUGUCACUCCUAGUUGAAUUCUCUCAUGGUGUAGAGUGACACCUCACAACAGGUUUGAAUUCCAUAGCAUUUUCUAUUGUUUAAACGUUAUUUUUGUGGUUCGUAAUUGGCCUAUUAAGAUAGGUCAAGUCAGAUCAAUCUCCAUUUUCCCUCUGUGUCUCUCUGCAUACUUGCCACCAUCCAUUGGCUUGUUAAGACAGGUCAAUGUUGCUGAUGAUGAUGUACACAAACUGCACAAUCAUCAUGAUCCCUUGGGACCUCACAAUAAUAUUAUCAUGCCUUAUGGAUAAAGAUUAUUUUCUAAUGAUUUAUUUCUAAAAGAAAAUUUAUUCAUUGUUUUUACUGUUUUAUGUUUGUUAGUAUUUCCGAAAAUAUUACAGUGGAAUCAAUCAUUAUAUGAAUAAGAAAUUCUCUUUUAUUUCUUCUGAAGAAUUUCCAAAAAAAGACAGCUUAGAAUUCAUAGCUCUAAUAUUCACAAUUAGUUUUUAACACCAGUUUUCAAUCUUUCACUAAUUACUAAGUUGCUGUGUACUCCGGGUCAUAUCACAAAUUGAGAACAUUCUUGGAGAUCUGCUAGACUGUACAGAAUCGAAGAACUCGGUAUGGAAUCCUCAUAUAAAUUUUUGAGCCAAUUUGCUGAAUGUCCCCUUACUGUAUGGUGUAAUAAAUGCAUUGUUUAUAGACAAUAUUAUAUAGCUGACUUAGUAUUCAUAUUAAAUAUGGUUAACUUGUUUUAUAUAUACAAGGUGUUCCAGAACAACAUGAACAGACUUAUAUACAACAUGGAUAAACUUAUAUGUUUAUAAUGAUUAUCCUCUCGGUGGACGGCUAUUUCUUGAUAUGAUGCACAACACUAACAAGGAGACUACACGAUUCGUGACUGGUCGAUUUU
rnacentral:lncRNA from 1 species